rnacentral:lncRNA from 1 species
CUCUGCCUAAUGAGCCAAGGCCAGUGAUGGAAGGCACACCCUGCAGAGAGAUGCUUUCUCCCUCUUGCUAAUAAACUUUUCCCUGGGAUCCACAGCUGGAUUCACCCAUGAAUACAGCCCUAGGUGUUAGGGGAGGGGGAGACAGAGGGGCGCAGUAACAGCUCAUUUAGCAGGAAACAAAUGGUCUCCUUUCAGGCCAACAACUAAAACAUUAUGCACUCAGACAAGCGCGGGGGACCAAGACAGGUACCGUGUGGCUCAGAAAGACAUGCAGAGGACAAGCACCUACUCCUUUGAGAAAUCCCCCGACAGCUUUCGGGAGGAAAAAAAAAUCCCACAGAAACCAAAACGUGCUAUUUCCUUCAAACAACCCGGAAGGCACAACCUAAGAGCAUUGGUUGUAAUAAAAUAUUGAAAUCAAGAUGAUGAUUAACAGUAAGAAUAGUUUGUACAUGUUGUGUGCAGUCCCUUGUCAUUCACAAAUCACUUUCACAUGCAUCAUCUCUCUGAAGCUUUACUAUAACUUUAUGGAGCAGGACGGGUGAGAAGUGGUACCCCUGUUUAGAGAGAAGGAUUUGGGGAGGCUGUGAGCUUAGACCCAAUGUCAAACAAGCCAAAUGUCAAGGCCGCCGUUCAAACCAAGCCUUCUAAUUCCAAAGCCACUGCACUUGCCCUAUUAGGACAUCAGAUCCAACCUUUUUAUAGUCCUUUUCUACUUUUUUGAAUCAUAAUAUGUUAGGGUUAGCCAAGUCCUUAAUCCCUGGAAACCUGGAACCCAGAAAUGUAAACAAUAUACUCAAGAUGACCCAUGAGAGAAGGACCGGCCUUUGAUCUGCAUUCUUCCUCCAAGUCAUCAUUCUGCCACUCAGUUCCUUUGUGUCCCUAGUAACAAAAGACCUUCCUACAGACAUCAGCAAUAAAAAUAUGUUUUUAUGUUGUCCCCUUAAAAACAGUAGAUGCCAGCAACUAAUGUAUGUCUUUUUUGACACAAGCCUUUACUUCUAAUAAAGCCAUACACUUAAUGUGGUGGCAGAAAUGAGCACAGAAGGAGAGAUUCAAGAGUGUUCCCUGCACACAGUAGGGGUUCCCUAAACGUUGUGCUGAAUUGAAUAGAGUGAAAUAAGCAUGGAGCCACAUAGAAAAGGGAAAGAAGAGAUAUUUUGCAUGUACAUAGACGGAAAUGCAUCUACUCUGUGCAAGACACUGUGCUGUGAGUUUGGCACAAAGAAGACAUUUGCCAUAUUCCAAGCUGGUUUUCGACAUCAGCUUGAAGCUCCCACUGUCUUUACAUUGCCUGCUCGCUGAGAGAACACAGCGGGAUGUGUGUUUCCAGGCAAUCCCUUGGAAAAUGUUUGACCUUGACUGAAGCUUUGACACUGUUUUCAUUGUCACCUCUGUGUCAUUUUUUUUAGGGAAAAAUUCUGGAGCCAAGAAAGAAGUAUGUAAAGGAAGUAGAACUGUUAGUAAAAUCCCGGUGACAGUGCAAUUACUACAACCCGAUGUCAGGAGAUAUUGUCUCAUGCUGUCACUGAGCCCGCUUGUAGAAGAUUUGGCCUGAUGGUGACUUCUGUCAAUUUCUGUCUAUUUCCACUCCUCCUUUCAAUCCACUGAUGGCUUCAAAGUAUUUAGGGGUUGGUUCUGCAGGAAGGAGGAAAUGUCGCUGAUCACCCCUUUACACCUGGGGCUAGAAAGUGUUCUAGUGAUCGCUAUUAUUACUGAACACCUGCAAUGAUGACAAUUACCUUAAAAUCAAAAGAACAGCUAACUUUCAUUGAAUGUUUACUACGCGUCCUAUGCUAAGUGCUUCACAUGCAUUAUUGUAUUUAGUCUUCAUACAGCACCCCUCCAUUGUUUAGGCCAGAGCUAUAUAACUACACAGCGGCCAAGUCAGAUUCCAACUUCAGAGCCUGUGUUCUCUGCCGGUACUCCACCACUCAUUCUUCUAUUCAUUCGUACAACCUCUGUCUACUGGGCACUGAGCUAGCUCCAGGACUACAGAGAGCAAAGAUCGACACUGUGUUCUCAGGCAGCUCACAGGACCCCAAGCAGUCAGAUAAACUAAAGGUCACAUAUUAUGUGCCAAGUGUGGUGGCAGAAGGGCUUGCUGGGUUCUCUGGGCAUGAAGGAGCCAUGGACGGCAGUUCACUCAUGGUGGGUGGAGCACAGGCAGCAGGCACAGAGUUGUGAAGGCACGGGAGAGCAUGGGCAUGAUCAGGGGUCUCCAAGUAGUUCCCAAAGGAUGGCACCCAGAGGAGAGACUCAGGUAGUCCAUGGAAAGACGACUGGAGAGGAAUGAGACUGGAAAACAGGGUGGAAACCAAGGAGAGGCUUUCUGCCAUGCGAAAGACUUUGAGUUUUAUCCUGAAAGCCACAGUGGCCCCUGAGAGUUUGUACGUAAGUGUGUGAUGUUUAGGGGAAACGCUUACUACAUCCUUCCACUCCAGUCCUCAGGAGGGAAAAGCAGAGCAGAAAUGCUUCCAUCCUCUCUCCUCAAAGGAAAGGGAUGGAUUUAUCUUUUGGGUGAAAUCAGAAGUGAGCAAACAUGUGUGGCUGUAGCAGAUAUGGUCGCUCUUGGCACCAUUCCAGUUCUGUAUUUGCAUUUCUUAUCCUUUCGUGUGAGACUGAGAAGUGACUCCAGGACACUCUAGGGAUGGAGCAGACACACUUGCAUGAGGCUUGGAAGGAGGAAGAGAAAGAUAGGCGGUAUCUGCCAUGUGCAAGGAGAAUAUCUCUUCUGGAACAGCUCAGACCAACAUCCUCCUAUCUGUCUAGCAACAGUGGCGUCUCCACCCUAACAGUCCAUGGAGUGAUUGUGCAACCGUUCUGACAUCCAAGUCUGGCUCCCAGACCCCUCCUGGAAUGCAACUGGCUACCCAACACCCAUUAUUAAAUCCCUUUCUGCUUAAGUUAUUGCAUCCGCAACUAAGAACCUAACUGAUACAACAGAAUAGCUCCUUUCCUUCUCUCAUUCAGAGCUUUCUGACCUCAGAAGAUCCUUAUUCACUGCCCACCCAUGAAAUAAGCCAGUGAGGCCACCUUUGCUCCUACAGGGAAAGAGAGACCUGUCAAUAGAUAUCCAGCUCAGAUAAACUCAAGGAGAAAGUUUGGGAGGCCUGAUGUAGCUACACAACCUAACUAAACUCUCCAAUCAAGUAUUAUCAGAAAUAAGGCCCAUGUUUCACCUUUUUCAAUUCCAGUAUCCAUCUCCCAUUUGGUUUUUUAACUUGAAAAGUGAAAGGAUAUGAGUAAGUAUCAUCUCUCAAAAAUAUUCCCCAUCUAAAAAAAAAAAUGAGAUCACAUUGAUGAUUUGGAAGCAGGGUGACCAGUUAGAAUCAGCCAUCUGGCUGGUGCAAACCCAAUUCCAGAGCCAGUCUGGAGUAAGGAAAGGGAUGUUUCUGUGAUAAUCAGAAAGGCAAUGAGAGCCCAUGGGGUACAGAAACUUCAGCUCUGAGAUGCAGUCUGUUGAUUACCAGGAAAUCCUUUUUGCAAAAGAGGUCAUAAUCUCAAACUCAGCUCACUUGUAUUACUUGCAGGGGGCUGAUUUCCCCCUUGACACUCACCAAAUUGCCCAACACACCUGCUUCCAAAGCCUGUGGUCUUCACACCUGAACCUCUUAGAGCCGAAAAUGAGGGAUGAAUAAGAAAUAGGAAUAACUAACCCCGCCUGGAGCCAUAAAGACUAGACAGGACAUGAGCUAAAUUAAAGAAACAAUAGCUAGGAAGCCCAACGAUUUCUAGCCCCUGAGCCUCUUAUUACUAGCAAGUCCAAAUUCUCCUACCUCACCCUGCCCUCUCUCUGCUACCUCUGGACCCUGCUCAGUUUUCCCCUCCCUGAAAUAAGGAAAGAUUGCAAAUAAAGCUGUCUUUGUUGAGUAACUAGCUUACACUCCAUACGACAAUGGGAGGUAGAAAGCAAAAGAGUAGAUGACUAUACUCAAGGGCUGGCAACCCCAGAGAAACCUGAGGGGAUGCAGGAAUGAUGGGAGUAGGUAUGGCAGAGAUGCCUAGUGUGCCCACUGGCAUCCAUUCUUCCCAUCUUCUAACAUAGCACCCAAUGCUGGCAUAUGGCAAUGCAGAAGAAAGACAAUACUAUGUAGCCCCCUUUCUGUUAGGAGUGGCUAGUUGACUUGGCCCUGGCCAAUGAGGAUGUCAAAAGAAACUAUGGGUUCAACUUCUAGCCACAUCCUUAAAAGAAGUGAAGAAGAUUCUCCUUUGACCUACUUCCCCUCCCCAGCUAUUGAGUUUGAAUGAGGAAGUGGUGACAUUCCCACAUGGGUCAUGAAGAUGACAACAACGUCCCAGGGAUGGAAUAGUGGCAAGCCCAGAGAGCCUGGAUCCUGCAUGACUUCACAGGUGGGAGCUUCCUGGACACUCAGACUUUUACAAAACUGAGACAUCUAUUUCUACCAUUUUAAAGAUGGUUUUAAGCUGCUUUAUUUGAUGUCUUGUACAAACAUGCAGUUUGUUUGAACUUAUAUCCUAAAGAAUUGAGAUGGUAUACCAACACUUCACUUAUCCAUCAACCAAAUGUUUCCAGAAAACAGGUGGUAAACAAAGAUAGUAACAAAAGACAUCCCCCAAAAGCCAACUUACAUUCUCACUGGAGGCUGAUGCACUUUAGUCACAGGAAUGGCACCCUGUCUAAGACUUGGUUGAUGCUUAUAGACCCUUAUCAUAUCCAUAUUUACAGUGAGCAUGAUUUCUGCUUACACAUCUUCAGAGCCAACACAAGGAUGGACAAAAAGGAAAGAAGAUUUCUUUAGAGGCAGAUAAAUUUAUGAUACCAAGACACAACAGCACAAUCUGACAAUGAGGGAAGAGACUACAAAGGCAUAAAAAAUAGAUAUAAGAAUUUAAAUCCAUACACCCAUAGGUUUGGGGCCACUCAUAUAUAAGGGCAAACAGUCCUAUAUCUCUAAACUGCCCUUAAGAAUACCAAAUAUGGAGUGCCCAUCAUGGCUCAGCAGUUAAGGAACCUGACUAGCAUUCAUGAGAAUGUGGGUUCGAUCCCUGGCCCUGCUCAGUGGGUUAAGGAUCCUGCGUUGCCAUGAGCUGUGGUGUAGGUCGCAGAUGUGAGUUGGCUCUUGCAUUGCUGUGGCUGUGGUGUGGGCCAGCAGCUGUAGCUCCAAUUAGACCCCUAGCCUGGGACCCUCCAUAUGUUGCAGGUGUGGUCCUAGAAAGACCAAAAACAAAACAAAACAAAACAAAAAACAAAUAUAUACCUGACGUAAUAGUUGAUGUACAAAAUGAUAUUUCUGAGUAAUGAUCUAUUUUUAAAAAGCAGAGAAGUAUGUAAUUCACAUAUUGUCAAAACAUUAGUCUUCUUAAACUUUGCUUAUUUGAAACGUCUCAGUGCCAUACAUAUAAAUUAUUGCAUAUAAUUCAAUGUUAAAUGAAAUAUAUUUUGAUAUCACACAUGUAAGUCAGUAUUAAAACCAUUCAUGCUGAACCUACACUUUUUGGGCCUUGCCCUAAAUGUGAUGUCCUAGAGGUGAAUCAGACACAUCGCUGCUGUCUGGCAACUCCUGGUCUAGUUUUGACAUAGACAAUAAAAGAGAUCAUUAUAACACCAGAUCAAACCCCUACAGGAGGAAAAUCAGAUGCAAUGUAGAUGAAAGGGAAAAAAGAUUACUGUCCAUAAUCUAAAAGAAACCCUUACAAAAUGAUAAGAAAAAGAUGAACCAUCCCCCCAAGAUGGGCAAAGACAAUGAAUUAGCUGUCUGCUGAGAAGCAAAUCCAAAUGCCUAAGAAAUGUAAAAGGAUGCUCUUCCUUUGUUGUCAUCAAGAAAACACAAAGUAAAUACUAAUGAGAUAUUACGUAUUCAUUAUCAAGUUAGCAAAAGUAAUAGAGAAUGAUAGUAUGUGCUGUUGGCAAAGAUGUGAUAUGGGAGAUGUGGCUUCAUAUGUGCCAAUGGAAGUGAGAACUAUAUUGUCUUUAGAAAGAUAUAUAGGGUAUCACCUACUAAAAAUUUAAAAAGCAUAUAUCCUUUGACUCUGAAGUAUUAGUUAGGGUAAACUACUCAUAAAAGUUAAAGCAUCAAAGGAUACUGAUAAAUGAACAAGGAUGCUUACUUCAGCAUUGCUUAUAAAAGUUAGUGGAACAAAAGUAAAUGCUUAUCAGGAGAGAAAUGGUUGAAAACCUGUUCAUAGCACUGAAACUUACACAGCCGUUGAAAAGAAUAACACAUCUACACCAAUUGACUGAGGGAGGCCUGGAGGGAGAUAGUUCCAUAGUGUUUAAAGUGAUAAAAGCAAUCUGCUAAGGAAUGGAUAUAUGAUCCCAUGUUUUAAGUCAAUGGCAAAAAUCCCUGCACGUGUGGGUGUGUGAACAUAUUCGUAUAAAUGUUAUAGGAGCUUAGAGGAGAACAUGGAAGGCAUUCUGGUUGUUAGUUUGGUGGGCAAGGGAGAGUACAUAAAUGACUAUAUUUUAAAAAUAGAUGUCCAGCAUAAAAAGUAAAUAGUUGGCAUAAUAAGCCAGAGCAAGUAAAAUUAUAUCUACGUACAUAUGCUUAGCAUAACUGUCUAAAAAGAUAAAUGAAAGGACGGUUACCAAAUUUAAGCAAGAUAAAGAACUGGGAUUUCACAUUAUUUCUACUAGCUUCUAAAGUUUUUCUAUGGUUUCUCAUUUCUUACAAUGAAUCUGUUUUACUUAUAUGAUUUGGAAAUUCAUAACAUGAUAAAAACAAACAAGGUCAGUGUUGGCCAAUAUCGAGUGGCCUUAACUAAGAAGCCGUCAUGAGGGGAAUGAUAGCUGAAAUCACCUAUAGUAUUCUAUUGGACUGGGAGGACAUGCGAAAAAAAGAAGGUGUUCCAGGCAGGAAGAACUUCUUACAGAAGUAUGACGGUGGAAAUAAAUAAAAGGAGUACCCUCAGCAUCCCCUUCAUCUGGAAGAGAAGAUUAAGAAUAAGGAAAUGGCUGGAGUUCCACAAUCCCAGUAACACCGUACAGAUAAGAAGGAGAAAUGGCCACCACAGUGCCUGUACCAAAAUGUGAUUUUGAGAGUUAACAUUAACAAAUGAAAACAGCUUGGUUUCUCCAAGUGCUACAAAUUGACAAAUAUUUUGAGUUCUUAGGACUCUGUCCAUGGUGACACCAUGUGUUUCAGUCAGAUGAAAACUUCAGUUGGGUAACAAUUUUCAUUUUCAACCCUCCUUUCUGUCAGUUUCAAACUCGGCUGUAAAUAUUUGCUUGGAGAAAAAAAAUGUCACUAAAGAU